CCUACGGGAGGCAGCAGUGAGGAAUAUUGGUCAAUGGGCGCGAGCCUGAACCAGCCAAGUAGCGUGAAGGAUGACUGCCCGACGGGUUGUAAACUUCUUUUAUAAAGGAAUAAAGUGAGGCACGUGUGCCUUUUUGUAUGUACUUUAUGAAUAAGGAUCGGCUAACUCCGUGCCAGCAGCCGCGGUAAUACGGAGGAUCCGAGCGUUCUACGGAUUUAUUGGGGUUAAAGGGAGCGUAGAUGGGUUGUUAAGUCAGUUGUGAAAGUUUUCGGCUCAACCGUAAAAUUGCAAUUGAUACUGGCAUCCUUGAGUCCCGUUGAGGUCGGCGGAAUUCGUGUUGUAGCGGU
rnacentral:rRNA from 1 species